rnacentral:rRNA from 1 species
AUUGAACGCUGGCGGAAUGCUUUACACAUGCAAGUCGAACGGUAGAGGGGGCAACCCCUCGAGAGUGGCGAACGGGUGAGUAAUAUAUCGGAACGUGCCCAGUCGUGGGGGAUAACGUAGCGAAAGUUACGCUAAUACCGCAUACGAUCUAAGUAUGAAAGCGGGGGAUCGCAAGACCUCGCGCGAUUGGAGCGGCCGAGAUCAGAUUAGGUAGUUGGUGGGGUAAAGGCUCACCAAGCCAACGAUCGGUAGCUGGUCGGAGAGGACGACCAGCCACACUGGAACUGAGACACGGUCCAGCCUCCUACGGGAGGCAGCAGUGGGGAAUUUUGGACAAUGGACGCAAGUCUGAUCCAGCCAUUCCGCGUGCAGGAUGAAGGCCCUCGGGUUGUAAACUGCUUUUGUACGGAACGAAAAGGUCUCUCUUAAUACGGGGGACUCAUGACGGUACCGUAAGAAUAAGCACCGGCUAACUACGUGCCAGCCGCCGCCGUAA